CUUUGGGAUAACCCUCGGAAACGGGGGCUAAUACCGAAUGUGACCUCGCAUCGCAUGGUGUGUGGUGGAAAGUUUUUCGGCCUGGGAUGGGCUCGCGGCCUAUCAGCUUGUUGGUGGGGUGAUGGCCUACCAAGGCGACGACGGGUAGCCGGCCUGAGAGGGCGACCGGCCACACUGGGACUGAGACACGGCCCAGACUCCUACGGGAGGCAGCAGUGGGGAAUAUUGCACAAUGGGCGGAAGCCUGAUGCAGCGACGCCGCGUGAGGGAUGACGGCCUCCGGGUUGUAAACCUCUUUCAGCAGGGACGAAGCGGAAGUGACGGUACCUGCAGAAGAAGCGCCGGCCAACUACGUGCCAGCAGCCGCGGUAAGACGUAGGGCGCGAGCGUUGUCCGGAUUUAUUGGGCGUAAAGAGCUCGUAGGCGGCUUGUCGCGUCGACCGUGAAAACUUGGGGCUCAACCCCAAGCCUGCGGUCGAUACGGGCAGGCUAGAGUUCGGUAGGGGAGACUGGAAUUCCUGGUGUAGCGGUGAAAUGCGCAGAUAUCAGGAGGAACACCGGUGGCGAAGGCGGGUCUCUGGGCCGAUACUGACGCCGAGGAGCGAAAGCGUGGGGAGCGAACAGGAUUAGAUACCCUGGUAGUCCACGCUGUAAACGUUGGGCGC
rnacentral:rRNA from 1 species